GUCAUAGAGAGUAAAUAAUCUCAAAUUAUUUCACGAUCUCAGGAGGCUGAAGUGGGAGGAUCGCUUGAGCCCGGGAGUUCUGGGCUGUAGUGUGCUGUGUGCUACUACACUAAGUUCGGCAUCAAUAUGGUGACCUCCUAGGAGCAGGGACCACCAGGUUGCCUAAAGAGGGAUGAACCAGCCCAGGUAGGAAACAGACCAGCUCAAAACUCCCGUGCUGAUCAGUAGUGGGAUCGCGCCUGUGAACAGCCACUGUACUCCAGCCUGGGCAACACAAUGAGACCCCGUAUCUA
ensembl:misc_RNA Metazoa_SRP Metazoan signal recognition particle RNA